rnacentral:rRNA from 1 species
ACUCAAAUGAAUUGACGGGGGCCCGCACAAGCGGUGGAACAUGUGGUUUAAUUCGAUGCAACGCGAAGAACCUUACCUGGGCUUGACAUCCUUGGAACCCUGUGGAAACACGGGGGUGCCUUCGGGAACCAAGAGACAGGUGGUGCAUGGUUGUCGUCAGCUCGUGUCGUGAGAUGUUGGGUUAAGUCCCGCAACGAGCGCAACCCUCGUUGUCUGUUGCUACAGACUGAAAAGUGCUGAGCACUCAGGCGAGACUGCCGGUGAUAAACCGGAGGAAGGUGGGGAUGACGUCAAAUCAUCAUGCCCCUUAUGUCCAGGGCGACACACGUGUUACAAUGGGAUGGGACAGCGGGCAGCAAGCUGGCAACAGCAAGCGAAUCCCUUAAACCCACCCUCAGUUCGGAUCGGAGUCUGCAACUCGACUCCGUGAAGUCGGAAUCGCUAGUAAACGCGGAUCAGCCAUGCCGCGUUGAAUACGUUCCCGGGCCUUGUACACACCGCCCGU